ensembl:lncRNA uncharacterized LOC115177694
CCUGUGGACGGCACCGGAUGUUUCUUCAGGAACAACAACACGGCUACUGAUUCAACCACCUCGGUAGCUUGCUAGCCAACAUGAAUUCGAAACAUUGAAGCUCUGAAUACCGUUGUUGUGUAACUACACGAAUCCCAGUGUUUUAAACACAGCUCUGUUAACAUAUGUACUAGUUGAUUUAAACUUAAUUCGCUUCGGAGCCUAGCACCAGGGUAGUCGAUAAUGCUAGCUAGCAAACAUCCCCGACCAUGAACUCACAAAGUUAUUCCCCCCCUGCUAUUGAAGAGGUCUGCUGGAUGGAGAAAGAAGCUCUUAGGCUGAACGUUGUCGUAAAAGAGGAAGACGAUGAUAUUACAGUGAAAGGAGCGGAAGAAGCAUUCAGAAUGAAACAAUAUAAAAUGGAGGCUAUCACGUUGAAAGAAGAACAGGAUGUUAAAGUGAAAGAAGAGAAAAUACCGUUUGUUGUGAAAAAGGAAGAGGAGUUAGAGGCUGUCACAGUGAAAGAAGAGGAGGAGACUGAAGAUCCGAUUAAAACCAGACCCAUCGCUCCCACACCCCUCCCCUCUCCCCGAGUCCCCAGGUCAUGCCUCUCCCGGUAA